UACGGGGGGGGCAAGCGUUGUUCGGAAUUACUGGGCGUAAAGGGCUCGUAGGUGGCCAACUAAGUCGGACGUGAAAUCCCUCGGCUUAACCGGGGAACUGCGUCCGAUACUGGUUGGCUUGAGUUUGGGAGAGGGAUGCGGAAUUCCAGGUGUAGCGGUGAAAUGCGUAGAGAUCCGGAGGAAUACCAGAGGCGAAGGCGGCCGACUGGGCUGCACCUGACGCUGAGCCGCGAAAGCCAGGGGAGCGAACGGG
rnacentral:rRNA from 1 species